AUGGGUCAGCUUGUUGAUGUCAGGAAGCAUGAGAGUGAACAAUGGCGGAUCAAGGAAGUGGAAUGGCAGAGAAGGACCACCCACAACCAUGUAGGACAGAGGAGGGGAAGGAGAAGACAACCAAGGGAGGCAAAGAAGGAGAGAGUGCGAGCAUUACUAUACCAGCUCUGUUGGAUCAGCCUGGAAUGCGUUUUGGAAACCGUUAAGCUGUAUGGUGCAGAGAGCGUUGGAAGCAAAGACCGAAUGCCCAGGCAGUGGGGAAGGCAGCUGUUGCCGUUGCCUAGGAAACCUCGGAGCUGGAUAAAUCCCAACGCGGUGGAUCAGCCAUUCAGGUCCCAGCGUUUAGAGUUGCUUUCUCAAGAUUAAAGAAAACAGACAAGCACGGAACAAAUGUUUCCAGUUGAGAGAAAGCAAAAAAAUCUACAUGUAAAGGACAGAUAGAAUGACCGUGGUUUGUAUCUGUCUUAUGGAACUACCCCUUCCAGACUAAAUGAGGUGAAGAGAAAUUACCUUGCAGACAAUCAAGGUGACAGGACCUACUGCAACAGAACCUCAUUACCCAAGGAUUUCCCUUCGACGCUAAUGAGGAGACCAGCCCUGUAUCCACAUUUAAAGGGGGCAGGGGAAUGAUGGUCCAUUUUGCAGGCUGGAACUGUUCAACAGGGAUGGUCGGGCAAUCAUGGUCAACCAACAAAGCAAGGUACUUCAUUAAAACUUACUUUAAAGGCAACAGGGACUCUAUCUUUCAAUAAAAGCUGUCACAGAUGAUCA
rnacentral:lncRNA from 1 species